rnacentral:lncRNA from 1 species
CUCUACAUUCUUGAAAUGCUCUUCUCAUGGGAGACAUUAAAUAAGCUUUGAAUUAACUGAAUGUACAGGGUGUACCAUGAACAAUUCUGACAUGUGAUUUAAUCUAUGUGGGACUACAUUUUAAAUACAUUUGGGAAGGAUUGAACAAUGAAGUGGAGCCCAUCAAUAUUGGUACUGAAAAUGAGACAGCUCUGAAGUAAGCCCUUAAGUAAAAGUGCCAUCAAAUGAUUUCUCAGAAAUUAUAAAGAAACAAAAGGACCAUAAACAAGAUAAGGUGGCAUGAGGAAACAUUACAAGUACCUUUCAGAGCUGACUGGCAAAGAAACUCCUGAGGUGACGGUUCUACCCCAAUAUUACUUCUUCGAAGAGCAACCUAACUGGACUUAUCUUCCUCAGUUCUCUGUGAUGAACUUUUGUAGAGCCAUACGAAAGGAGGUUUUUAGCUCUCACCUGUGGUCUUUCUUCAUCAUGCACCUCCUAGAUUCAAAAGUUCAGCAGGGACAUGUCAAGCUAUAUAAAUAAAAACAAACUAAGAAAAAAUGUAACAUUCCAUACCUUAAAACGCAACCUUAAUAACGUGAAAGACCCUGAAGGACUUGAGACGUGAAGAUUUUCUACCACGGUCUUUGCCUGUAUUAUUUCUGACAGCUGUUCCUUUCUACUC